rnacentral:siRNA from 1 species
AUCUCUUUGGGAUAAUAUCCGUUC